CACGUAGGGGGCAAGCGUUGUCCGGAUUUAUUGGGCGUAAAGCGCGCGUAGGCGGACCUGCAAGUCGGGGGUGAAAGCCCGAGGCUCAACCUCGGAACUGCCUUCGAUACUGCGGGUCUCGAGUCCGGGAGAGGUGAGUGGAAUUCCUAGUGUAGAGGUGAAAUUCGUAGAUAUUAGGAAGAACACCAGUGGCGAAGGCGGCUCACUGGCCCGGUACUGACGCUGAGGCGCGAAAGCGUGGGGAGCAAACAGG
rnacentral:rRNA from 1 species